rnacentral:hammerhead_ribozyme from 1 species
GCACUGCUGAGGAGUCCCAUACUAUGGGACGAAACGGUCGUCCAGUGC